rnacentral:rRNA from 1 species
GAUGAACGCUGGCGGCGUGCCUAAUACAUGCAAGUCGAGCGAACGGACGAGAAGCUUGCUUCUCUGAUGUUAGCGGCGGACGGGUGAGUAACACGUGGAUAACCUACCUAUAAGACUGGGAUAACUUCGGGAAACCGGAGCUAAUACCGGAUAAUAUUUUGAACCGCAUGGUUCAAAAGUAAAAGACGGUCUUGCUGUCACUUAUAGAUGGAUCCGCGCUGCAUUAGCUAGUUGGUAAGGUAACGGCUUACCAAGGCAACGAUGCAUAGCCGACCUGAGAGGGUGAUCGGCCACACUGGAACUGAGACACGGUCCAGACUCCUACGGGAGGCAGCAGUAGGGAAUCUUCCGCAAUGGGCGAAAGCCUGACGGAGCAACGCCGCGUGAGUGAUGAAGGUCUUCGGAUCGUAAAACUCUGUUAUUAGGGAAGAAUAUAUGUGUAAGUAACUGUGCACAUCUUGACGGUACCUAAUCAGAAAGCCACGGCUAACUAUGUGCCAGCAGCCGCGGUAAUACGUAGGUGGCAAGCGUUAUCCGGAAUUAUUGGGCGUAAAGCGCGCGUAGGCGGUUUUUUAAGUCUGAUGUGAAAGCCCACGGCUCAACCGUGGAGGGUCAUUGGAAACUGGAAAACUUGAGUGCAGAAGAGGAAAGUGGAAUUCCAUGUGUAGCGGUGAAAUGCGCAGAGAUAUGGAGGAACACCAGUGGCGAAGGCGACUUUCUGGUCUGUAACUGACGCUGAUGUGCGAAAGCGUGGGGAUCAAACAGGAUUAGAUACCCUGGUAGUCCACGCCGUAAACGAUGAGUGCUAAGUGUUAGGGGGUUUCCGCCCCUUAGUGCUGCAGCUAACGCAUUAAGCACUCCGCCUGGGGAGUACGACCGCAAGGUUGAAACUCAAAGGAAUUGACGGGGACCCGCACAAGCGGUGGAGCAUGUGGUUUAAUUCGAAGCAACGCGAAGAACCUUACCAAAUCUUGACAUCCUUUGACAACUCUAGAGAUAGAGCCUUCCCCUUCGGGGGACAAAGUGACAGGUGGUGCAUGGUUGUCGUCAGCUCGUGUCGUGAGAUGUUGGGUUAAGUCCCGCAACGAGCGCAACCCUUAAGCUUAGUUGCCAUCAUUAAGUUGGGCACUCUAAGUUGACUGCCGGUGACAAACCGGAGGAAGGUGGGGAUGACGUCAAAUCAUCAUGCCCCUUAUGAUUUGGGCUACACACGUGCUACAAUGGACAAUACAAAGGGCAGCGAAACCGCGAGGUCAAGCAAAUCCCAUAAAGUUGUUCUCAGUUCGGAUUGUAGUCUGCAACUCGACUACAUGAAGCUGGAAUCGCUAGUAAUCGUAGAUCAGCAUGCUACGGUGAAUACGUUCCCGGGUCU